AAAAUUAAGAAGGAUGUAUUUGAAGGAAUGAUGGAGUUGAACAGGCCAAAAACAUCAUGGAUUUUAUUUUUUUAAAUUAAUUAAAAAAAUUUUUUUACAAUGUGAUUAGGGAAUAUCAUGGAUUUUCAAAGUAUUGAAGGAAAAAUAUUAAAACCUAGAUUUUUACAUAUGACAAUGCAGUCAUUCAACUAUGAGGCUAUGAUGACAUAUAUUUCCAAGCAUACAAGACCUCAGAAGACAGUUUUUGAUAAAAUCCUUAAAUAGAAACAAAUAUGGAAGAUAAUUAAAAGACGUGUGAAGUAAUGCUGACAAAAUGUCUUGGGAAAAUGUGCUGUUUUUUUAAAUAGCCAACAACUAAGAAAAGGAGAACAUAGGGGCAUAAUGGUUUAGGAUUUAAAGUAGAUAGUAGCAAAUGAUGGGGUAGGAGAAGAUGAAGAGACAAAGGGAUGUCAGAAUGGACAAGAUUCUUUGUAGGAGAGAUAUAUAUACAUCCAAUUUUUUUUUUAGUAAUAAAAGAUUCAAAAUAAAUUCAGAAAACAUUCAAAGUGUGGGAAAAACUUAAAUAUUGAAAAUGGUGAAACACAUUGUAAUGUAUAAACAAUUAUGAUUAUAAUUACUAUUUCAUUUAUUUUUGUUAGUGUGUCCAUGAACUUCCUGCUUAUGAUCUUUACUCCUUUUUCUUUUUGUAAGGGGAAAUACCCUUCAUUUUUCUUCGAUAAUACAUGGUCACUAUAUGGUUCAAACUCUAAGAUAAGGGGAAAAUCUCCUGGAGUUAACUACAAUCAGAUACAUACUAUAUAUCAAAUUGAUAUAUAGUAUAUAUCAAAUGUAGAGGACAUCAGACCAUAUCAUUGCUCAUUUCUUCUGCAACACUUACUUUCCUGAACAUGAUGCUUUACUUAUUCUUUUAUCAAAAUAUUCAUCUUGACACAUAUAACCAGAAGUUUUAAGAGCUAUGAGGAAGUCAAUUCAGGGCAUUAUUAACUGAAAUUUCUAGUUAUACAAAAGCAGGAUACUGUCGUAGUGCAGGAUUAAUUUAGGUAUGUGGCAGAGGGAGUUUAACUGAAGCAAGACCAGGCAGAUCAGAGACCAGUGGUCAGAGUUAGGACAAUCAAUUCCCAGUCAGUCCAAAAGCGGGGUGCCCAUUACAUGGCUCAGUUGAAUGUGGGCACUGAGAUUUCCUGUGAAUGUGAAUGUGAAUGUCAAUGUGGGCUCAGUAUUUCCUGACUCAAAGGAAACUCAGUCUGAGG
rnacentral:lncRNA from 1 species